GUGUCAAUUUAUAUGUGUGUUUAAUUCCUCUUGUUUUAGAGUUUCAAUUGAAAAUAUCAUCAUGAAGCUAGGAAACAUUUUGCUAACAAUUGGGGUUUUAUUUGUUCUCUUCAGCCUCGCCUAUGGAUAUCCGUUGAUCCAUUGAGACUUUGCCACGAAAGUAUGACAUUGGGUGGAAAAUGUAGCUCUUCAUCUGGUUUCUCUCCAUCUAGUUGCUUUGGAGCAUUCAACAGUAAAUAUGGAGCAAGUGCCGUGACUCAGAAUUGUUCUUGUAAAGAUAAUAAUAAUAAUACUCACGUAUGCACAUGUUGUAUUAAUUGUGUAUAUUCAUCUACUAAAAACUAUUGUUCUUAAUA